rnacentral:rRNA from 1 species
GACGUAGGGCGCGAGCGUUGUCCGGAUUUAUUGGGCGUAAAGAGCUCGUAGGCGGCUUGUCGCGUCGUUCGUGAAAACUUGGGGCUCAACCCCAAGCUUGCGGUCGAUACGGGCAGGCUAGAGUUCGGUAGGGGAGACUGGAAUUCCUGGUGUAGCGGUGAAAUGCGCAGAUAUCAGGAGGAACACCAAUGGCGAAGGCAGCUCGCUGGAACGGUACUGACGCUGAGGCGCGAAAGCGUGGGGAGCGAACAGG